rnacentral:rRNA from 1 species
AUUUAAGUAUAAAAAGGGCACUUGGUGGAUGCCUUGGCACUAGAAGGCGAUGAAAGACGUGAUACGCUGCGAUAAGCUUCGGGGAGGCGCGAAUAGCCUUUGAUCCGAAGAUUUCUGAAUGGGGAAACCCACCUAUUUAUUAGGUAUUCUGCAAUGAAUUCAUAGUUGCAGGAAGCAAACCCGGAAAACUGAAAUAUCUAAGUAUCCGGAGGAAAGGACAUCAAACGAGACUCCGUUAGUAGUGACGAGCGAAAGCGGACCAGGCCAGUGGCUUAUAAGUAAGAACUAGAACAAUUUGGAAAAAUUGACCAUAGUGGGUGAUAGUCCCGUAUAGGUAGAAAGCUUAUAAGUCCUCGAGUAAGGCGGGACACGUGUAAUCCUGUCUGAAUAUGGGGGGACCACCCUCCAAGCCUAAGUACUCUCUAGUGACCGAUAGUGAACAAGUACCGUGAGGGAAAGGUGAAAAGUACCCCGAGAGGGGAGUGAAAUAGUUUCUGAAACCAAGUGCUUACAAGCAGUCGGAGCGAGACUUAAUGAUUCGUCAUUAAGGACUUGUGACGGCGUACCUCUUGUAUAAUGGGUCAGCGAGUUAGUGUAUCGAGCGAGCUUAAGUCAAUAGAUGUAGGCGUAGCGAAAGCGAGUCUGAAUAGGGCGUAUAGUUCGAUGCAUUAGACCCGAAACCGGGUGAUCUAGCCAUGGCCAGGAUGAAGGUGUAGUAACAUACGCUGGAGGUCCGAACCCAUUAAUGUUGAAAAAUUAUGGGAUGAGCUGUGGCUAGGGGUGAAAGGCCAAUCAAACUCGGAAAUAGCUGGUUCUCCGCGAAAUCUAUUUAGGUAGAGCGUCGUGACAAUUACCACUGAGGGUAGAGCACUGGAUAAGCUAGGGGGGCCCAAAGCCUUACCAACCUUAACUAAACUCCGAAUACCAGUGAGUACAGCACGGCAGACAGACCUAGGGUGCUAAGGUCCUAGGUCGAGAGGAAAACAGUCCAGACCACCGUCUAAGGUCCCCAAAUUAUGGCUAAGUGUGAAAGGAUGUGAGAAAACCAAAACAACUAGGAUGUUGGCUUAGAAGCAGCCAUCAUUUAAAGAAAGCGUAACAGCUCACUAGUCUAAAUAAGUUUUCUUGCGCCGAAAAUGUAACGGGGCUAAAGCCAUAUACCGAAGACGUGGGUGUGUAUCUAUGAUACACGCGGUAGCGGAGCGUUCUGUAGGCCGUUGAAGGUGAAUCGUGAGAUUUGCUGGAGGUAUCAGAAGUGAGAAUGCUGACAUGAGUAGCGACAAAAGAUGUGAAAAUCAUCUUCGCCGAAAGUCCAAGGGUUCCUGCGUAAAGCUAAUCUGCGCAGGGUUAGUCGGCCCCUAAGGCAAGGCCGAAAGGCGUAGUCGAUGGGAAUCAGGUUAAUAUUCCUGAACCUGUGGGAAGUGACGGAUAACGGAAGUUGUGUGCUGUUAUUGGAUUCAGUAUGCAGCCUAGUUGUCCCAGGAAAUAGCUCCCACAUAUAGACCGUACCCCAAACCGACACAGGUGGACUGGUAGAGUAUACCAAGGCGCUUGAGAGAACGAUGCUGAAGGAACUAGGCAAAUUGCACCUGUAACUUAGGGAGAAGGGUGGCCUCUUAUGGGCAACCAUAAAGAGGUGGCACAAAGCAGGGGGUUGCGACUGUUUACUAAAAACACAGGGCUAUGCAAACUCAUUAAGAGGAAGUAUAUGGUCUGACGCCUGCCCAGUGCUGGAAGGUUAAGAGGAGGUGUGCAAGCACUGAAUUGAAGCCCCAGUGAACGGCGGCCGUAACUAUGACGGUCCUAAGGUAGCGAAAUUCCUUGUCGGGUAAGUUCCGACCCGCACGAAUGGCGGCUAGACGGAAAGACCCCGUGCACCUUUACUAUAGCUUUGCAUUGGCAUUAGAAACUAGAUGUGUAGGAUAGGUGGGAGGCUAUGAAGCGGAGACGCCAGUCUUCGUGGAGCCAUCCUUGAAAUACCACCCUUCUGGUUUUUGAUGUCUAACCUAGCUCCUUGAAUCAGGAGCGGGGACCAUGCAUGGUGGGUAGUUUGACUGGGGCGGUCGCCUCCCAAAGAGUAACGGAGGCGCGCGAUGGUAGGCUCAAGCUGGUCGGAAAUCAGCUUUUAGAGUGCAAUGGCAUAAGCCUGCCUAACUGUGAGACUGACAGGUCGAACAGAUACGAAAGUAGGUCAUAGUGAUCCGGUGGUUCCCUGUGGAAGGGCCAUCGCUCAACGGAUAAAAGGUACGCCGGGGAUAACAGGCUGAUGAUUCCCAAGAGUCCAUAUCGACGGAAUCGUUUGGCACCUCGAUGUCGGCUCAUCACAUCCUGGGGCUGGAGAAGGUCCCAAGGGUUCGGCUGUUCGCCGAUUAAAGUGGUACGUGAGCUGGGUUUAGAACGUCGCGAGACAGUUCGGUUCCUAUCUACCAUGGGUGUAGGAAGUUUGCGAGGAUCUGCCUUUAGUACGAAAGGACCGAGGUGGACGUACCUCUAGUGGUCCAGUUGUCGCGCCAGCGGCAUGGCUGGGUAGCUAACGUACGGACGGGAUAAACGCUGAAAGCAUCUAAGCGUGAAACCCACCUUUAAACUAGACUUCCCCAUUAGAGCCGUGGAAGACUACCACGUUGAUAGGCUGGGUGUGUAAGCACAGUAAUGUGUUUAGCUUACCAGUACUAAUAGCUCGAUUGUCUUAAAUCG